GUUGCUUUCGUUUCGGUCCGGUAGAGAGCGCGCAUGUCGUGUUCUUGCCACGCCCACCUCGGACUCCUUCGGAAAUCUUCGGCUUAGAACCGAACCUUCCCCCCUCCUCCCUAGGGCUUUAGCGCCCGUUUUAAUUAGAAACCUCGUCCGCCCUAGUUGACUCUGUCCUCUGAUCGCGGCUACUGACCACGUGUGCUCGACGUCCUCUGCGCUAAGAGGCCUUUCGCGGGAACGGCGAUUUCCGGUUGCACAAAAGAUGUAGUCAGUUACUUAAGGGAUGUGAUCCCAUUUGUACAGUAGCCAGGCAGAGGUAGUUUUUAGAAAUGUCAUGCAUAGUUAAAUUCUUUUUAUUUAUAUUUAAUUCUAAAAAUUCUGGUUUCCUUCGCGCAUCCGCGAAUUUUCGGUGCGCGUCAUCCUGAUGUCGGCGCGAGACACCUCGCGAGCCCUGUGUCCACACCCUGUUUGACAGGGUCGAAGUUACGGGGGAGAAAUUGCCCCCGCAUGAUCUUCGGGACCUCCAGCUGAUCCCCCCCCCCCCUUGUUAGAAGAGUUUGGCCGGCAGUCCGAGGUCAUCCUGGAAAGAUCCGGGUGAUAUGAGAUAUAUAUAUAUUUUUACUUAAAUAGAAGGAACUAAAACAAAGAUACCAGCGAGCAGUGUUUUAAGGACGUCAUCCUCAAGAAUCUGUAAAAUCGAGGAAACUCAUAUAUAUAUGUAAUUGUUGGGACAAUUAAAAUUUGGUGCGAUUUUUAAAUUUUUGAUUAUGUAAUAAUAUUUUGUUAAGGUGUAAUGUGUAUUGUUUUAAAUUAUUCUGGGGCGCCCCCUUUAACUUCGUUAAUUACUAAGAUUUUAUUGUCAAGUUUUAAUAAUACGAACACAAAAUUCCUUAAUAAUAAACCAGGGAACCUAUAGACCAAGCUACUUGUGUAGUGUUAAUUUAUUUAUGAUAUACCUUCUUCCCUUAAAAGAUCCACCAGCUCCCAAUUUGCUUGUGUCAGGGAGAUCCAAAUUAUAUUGUUCUCCACCUCGUGCCACCUCUGGUCAAUAACUAAAUUUUUCUUAUUUUCUUACCCAGCAAGUUUCCAAGGCUCUUUUUAAUCAAUUUAAAAUAAUUUAAUUUUGAGGCACGAGGGGCGUUACAAUUGGUAGCAGAGCGUGGUUUGGUCUAUAGGCAUACCUAAAAGAAGUAGGCAUACCUAAAAUAAAAUAAAAAAAAAAUUUAAAAAAAAA